AUUGAACGCUGGCGGCAUGCUUUACACAUGCAAGUCGAACGGUAACAGGCCGCAAGGUGCUGACGAGUGGCGAACGGGUGAGUAAUGCAUCGGAACGUGCCCAGUCGUGGGGGAUAACGCAGCGAAAGCUGUGCUAAUACCGCAUACGAUCUACGGAUGAAAGCGGGGGACCGUAAGGCCUCGCGCGAUUGGAGCGGCCGAUGUCAGAUUAGGUAGUUGGUGGGGUAAAGGCCUACCAAGCCGACGAUCUGUAGCUGGUCUGAGAGGACGACCAGCCACACUGGGACUGAGACACGGCCCAGACUUCUACGGGAGGCAGCAGUGGGUAAUUGUGGACAAUGGGCGCAAGCCUGAUCCAGCAAUGCCGCGUGCAGGAAGAAGGCCUUCGGGUUGUAAACUGCUUUUGUACGGAACGAAACGGUCUGGGUUAAUACCCUGGGCUAAUGACGGUACCGUAAGAAUAAGCACCGGCUAACUACGUGCCAGCCGCCGCCGUAA
rnacentral:rRNA from 1 species